CCACUCGGAGAGCACUGGGGGCCACACUGCAGAAUUGCCCACAGCACUAAAGUUUACUCGGACACAAGCGCCCGCCCCGGCGGAGCAUGCGCAGAGAGACCCAGAGGCGCGCGAGGUCGCUGGGCGGCCAAGGCCCAGCAUGCCCUGCGCGUGGUGCAACAUGGCGGCGCCCACGCUGAGGAGCCUGUACCGUACGCCCCAGGCGGGGGUCUGGCCGCGCGGGCCGCGUGUGGUGCGUCCGGGCGCGCGGGGGAUGCUGGCGGCCCCGAGGGCCCGCGGCCUGUUCAAGGAGUUCUUUCCCGAGAGCGGCACGAAGACAGAGCUCCCCGAACUCUUCGACCGUCGCAGGGCGGGCGCGUCGCCCCAGACGGUGUACUGCGGCUUCGACCCCACGGGCGACUCGCUGCACGUGGGCCACCUGCUGACCUUGCUGGGGCUCUUCCACUUCCAGCGAGCCGGCCACAACGCCAUCGCGCUCGUGGGGGGCUCCACGGCCCGCCUGGGGGACCCCAGCGGCCGGAGCAAGGGGCGGGAGGCGCUGAGCGCCGAGCGCGUGCAGGCCAACGCGCACGCCCUGCGGCGGGGGCUCGAGAACCUGGCCGCCAACCACGCGCGCCUCUUCGGCGACGGCCGGCCCUGGGGCUCCUUCACGGUGCUCGACAACGCCGCCUGGUUCCAGGAGCAGCACCUCGUGGACUUCCUGGCCACCGUAGGCGGUCACUUCCGCAUGGGCACGCUGCUGAGCCGCCAGAGCGUGCAGAGUCGCCUCAAGAGCCCCGAGGGCAUGAGCCUGGCCGAGUUCUUCUACCAGGUGCUGCAGGCCUACGACUUCUACCACCUCUUCCGGCGCUACGGCUGCCGCGUGCAGCUCGGCGGGGCGGAUCAGCUGGGCAACAUCGUGUCGGGCUACGAGUUCGUCCACAAGUUGACCGGAGAAGAUGUAUUUGGAAUCACUGUUCCACUGAUUACAAGUACAACUGGAGCAAAGCUGGGGAAGUCGGCUGGCAACGCCGUUUGGCUAGACCGAGAGAAGACAUCACCAUUUGAGCUUUAUCAGUUCUUUGUCAGACAGCAGGAUGAUUCUGUGGAGAGGUACCUGAAGCUCUUCACUUUCCUUCCCCUUCCGGAGAUUGAUCACAUUAUGCAGCUGCAUAUCAAAGAACCAGAAAAGCGGGGUGCUCAGAAACGACUGGCUGCAGAAGUAACAAAGCUUGUUCAUGGACAAGAAGGUCUGGACUCUGCUAAAAGGUGUACACAAGCCCUUUACCAUAGCAGCAUAGAGGCACUGGAGGUCAUGUCUGACCAAGAAUUAAAAGAAUUGUUUAGAGAAGCUUCAUUUUCUGAAUUAGUUCUUGAACCUGGAACAAGUGUCAUCGAUACAUGUCGCAAAGCAAAUGCCAUUCCAGAUGGUCCCCGAGGGUAUCGGAUGAUAACAGAAGGCGGAGUCAGCAUAAAUCACAGACAGCACACAUGAAAUUCUGUAUUCAGAGUUAAUAUUGACACUGAUGGGAAACACAGGAAAGCACUGGAGAGGCUGGAGCUCAGACCUUUACAGAGGAAAUGUCCCAGAGUACCAUUUCCAGCUCUGAAAUCUUAAUCUCUACCAAAAGAAGACAUUGGGAAGCUAAUCUUAAAGGUAUAAAGCUACUUAUAGCAAAAAUGAGUCUACUUCUUUGUGAUUUCACUAUAUACUGAAGACCAGCUGAGACAGCCAACCUCAUGGACUGAACAACAACUGGAUUCUUGGAACUUUCUGUUUAUAGGCAGCCACUGUUGGAUUAGCUGGACCACAGCUUGUACCUGUGUACUGUAAUUACUACAAUGCUGAAUGAUCCUCUGCAUUUCCUCAUGGACCAAUUCAACACACCGGAGACUGGGCUCUUCUAGACGCUUGAUUUGCCGCUUGACCAGUAACUCAAACGAAACCUCAGGCAC